rnacentral:sRNA from 1 species
GUGCCAUAUUUGAGGGAUUUGGGUCUGAACUGCCCAACCUACCACAACCCAGCAGAUUUUGUCAUGGAGGUUGCAUCCGGCGAGUACGGUGAUCAGAACAGUCGGCUGGUGAGAGCAGUUCGGGAGGGCAUGUGUGACUCAGACCACAAGAGAGACCUCGGGGGUGAUGCCGAGGUGAACCCUUUUCUUUGGCACCGGCCCUCUGAAGAGGUAAAGCAGACAAAACGAUUAAAGGGGUUGAGAAAGGUAAUGCAAAUCCUGAAGCCCCCUGGGGGAGGCUGCACGUGGCACUGUGCACUGCUGCAUGAGAGCUCUUUCCGAGCAAGAAGGAGCCGUGGCUCCGGACUGGCUUUCACCCGCUCCCCUCUUGCCUGUGUCCUCAGGACUCCUCGUCCAUGGAAGGCUGCCACAGCUUCUCUGCCAGCUGCCUCACGCAGUUCUGCAUCCUCUUCAAGAGGACCUUCCUCAGCAUCAUGAGGGACUCGGUCCUGACACACCUGCGCAUCACCUCGCACAUUGGGAUCGGCCUCCUCAUUGGCCUGCUGUACUUGGGGAUCGGGAACGAAGCCAAGAAGGUCUUGAGCAACUCCGGCUUCCUCUUCUUCUCCAUGCUGUUCCUCAUGUUCGCGGCCCUCAUGCCCACUGUUCUGACAUUUCCCCUGGAGAUGGGAGUCUUUCUUCGGGAACACCUGAACUACUGGUACAGCCUGAAGGCCUACUACCUGGCCAAGACCAUGGCGGACGUGCCCUUUCAGAUCAUGUUCCCAGUGGCCUACUGCAGCAUCGUGUACUGGAUGACGUCGCAGCCGUCCGACGCCGUGCGCUUUGUGCUGUUUGCCGCGCUGGGCACCAUGACCUCCCUGGUGGCACAGUCCCUGGGCCUGCUGAUCGGAGCCGCCUCCACGUCCCUGCAGGUGGCCACUUUCGUGGGCCCAGUGACAGCCAUCCCGGUGCUCCUGUUCUCGGGGUUCUUCGUCAGCUUCGACACCAUCCCCACGUACCUACAGUGGAUGUCCUACAUCUCCUAUGUCAGGUAGCGGGUGUGGGGCACGCAUGGCGUGGGGACCGAGGGUGACGGGGGAAGAACCGUCUCCAACAGCGUGAGGGGCUCACAAAAGCCACUCUGGGCUGCUGGCCAAGAGCAGAUCACACAUCUGAGGAUCCAGGCCUUCCAUCUUCCUGCUAGUUCCACCUCCUCCUACCCUCACCAACACACACACACUAAACAAGGAGGCCACACAAACCAGCGCUUCACACCCGGAGAGCCAUGGCAGGCCCAAGUGUUCUGGGCGUUGCCGAGAGCUGCCUUCGGUGGAAGCGCUUCCAUCUUUUUGGAACGUUCUUCCUCCCCGAAGUGCCGAGUGCUCCUAACAAGUGCUGACUGUAAAACCUUUAUAAGAAAUCCGGUGGGAGUCGGGCGUGGUGGCUCAUGUCUGUAAUCCCAGCACUUUGGGAGGAUGAGGCAGGCAGAUCACUUGAGGUCAGGAGUUUGAGACCAGCCUGGCCAACAUGGCGAAACCCCGUCUCCACUAAAAACACAAAACAAUUAGGUGGGCUUGGUGGCGCACGACUGUAAUUCUAGCUACUCCGGAGGCUGAGGCGGGAGGGCGGGAGGAUCCCUCGAACCUGGGAGGCAGAGAUUGCAGUGAGCUGAGAUCGCGCCACUGCACUCCAGCCUAGGUGACAGAGUGAGACUCUGUCUCAAUAAAAAAAAAA